GAUGAACGCUGGCGGCGUGCCUAAUACAUGCAAGUCGAGCGAACAGACGCGGAGCUUGCUCCUCUGACGUUAGCGGAGGACGGGUGAGUAACACGUGGAUAACCUACCUAUAAGACUGGGAUAACUUCGGGAAACCGGAGCUAAUACCGGAUAAUAUAUUGAACCGCAUGGUUCAAUAGUGAAAGACGGUUUUGCUGUCACUUAUAGAUGGAUCCGCGCCGCAUUAGCUAGUUGGUAAGGUAACGGCUUACCAAGGCAACGAUGCGUAGCCGACCUGAGAGGGUGAUCGGCCACACUGGAACGGAGACACGGUCCAGACUCCUACGGGAGGCAGCAGUAGGGAAUCUGCCGCAAUGGGCGAAAGCCUGACGGAGCAACGCCGCGUGAGUGAUGAAGGUCUUCGGAUCGUAAAACUCUGUUAUUAGGGAAGAACAAAUGUGUAAGUAACUAUGCACGUCUUGACGGUACCUAAUCAGAAAGCCACGGCUAACUACGUG
rnacentral:rRNA from 1 species